AUUCUCCAUGAAGUUCUGAGCUGCGAGAGCCCAGCAACGCCCUGAACCCAGGCAGCCUGUGAGUAACUGCACAGCCAGGAAGCCAGGAAGGGCUGCGUUGAAGAGAUGGCAGUAUUACCCGUCAGCCGAACGGUUGUAUAUCGCUGCUGCUGAUAGAAUGACGUGCUGGUGCUGAAGAGGGAGCAUCCUGCCAGGAAACAGAGGAGCAGACCCGUUAAUUCCCCAGCAGACACGAAAAGUGAAGCUCCUAAACAAAGAGUACAUAGCUCAUUGAUUGCUUUAGGACAAUCAAAACAAACCUCAGAAAAUUCUAUGGAAGGAGAUACAAAGACAAAAUUCGGAGCAGAGACUGAAGGAAUGACCAUCCAGAGGCUGCCCCACCUGGCGAUCCAUCCAAUAAACAGCCACCAAACCCAGACACGAUUGCAGAUGCCAACAAGAUUUUGUUGACAGGAGCCUGAUAUAGCUGUCUCCUGAGAGGCUCUGCCAGUGCCUGGCAAAUACAGAACUGGAUGCUCACAGUCAUCCAUUGGAUGGAACACAGGGUCCUCAAUGAAGGAGCUAAAGAAAGGACCCAAGGAGCUGAAGGGGUUUGUAGCCCUACAGGAAGACCAACCAUAUGAACUAACCAGUAUCCGCAGAGCUCCCUGGGACUAAAUCACCAAUCAAAGAAAACACAUGGUGAUCGUAUCUCUAGUUAGUUGCAUAUGUAGCAGAGGAUGGCCUAGUAGGCCAUCAAUGGGAGGAGAGGUCCUUGGUCCUGUGAAGGCUCUAUGGCCCAGUAUAGGGGAAUGCCAGGGCCAGGAAGCAGUAGUGUGUGGUUUGGGGAGCAGAGACAGGGGGAAGGGGAUAGGGGAUUUUUUUUGGGGGGGGAAACUAGGAAAGGGAAUAUCAUUUGAAAUGUAAAUAAAGAAAAUAUCUAAUUAAAUAAAAGGGGGAGGGAAGAAAAUUCUUACCAAUCUGUGGUUGUACACUAAGAGGUUUCAUUGAGAAACAUGGCAAAGAAGGAAAAAUAUCUUGUUUUAUUUUUUUAACAGUCAUCAGCUUGGACCUUGUCAAGCACAUUCCGGAGUUGCAUUUGCAGACAGGGAGGAUGAUGUAUAUGGAGGAUGAUAUAGAUGCAGAUCUCCUGAGUACUUCUUGUGGAGUCUGACAUGUAUCCUACAUGACCUGGAGCAGGCAGGAAUAAUCCUAACUUUAACUGACCUGCUAGCCUUGCUAGUUUAUUGGUGACUAAGGUGGGCUUUGUGAUAGCCAGUUUAUACUCAGAGAUGAUGUGAAGGAGAUCAAAGGUGCUUUAAAGAGGGCUUUCUGUCAGGAGCAGGAGAAAGACCUUUCAUGAACCUAGAAACAAUUUUCUUGAUGUAGAGGACUGAAGGCCGCAGAGCUGUUGCAAGUCCGCAGGCAGCCAGCACUCCAAGCUCUGGAAAGGUAUAGUCUUCAGAGCUCUCAACUAAAACAGUUAUAACCGAGAAACCUGUGAAAGAGCUAGAGGGCAAAUUAAAAGCCUGAUGGCUCUUAGAACAUUUUCUUCCCACAAUCACUCUGUGCCACCUUAAUUUUUUCAUUCUGACAGGGUCAGAAAGGAGGGCAAGUAG
ensembl:antisense Gm16685 predicted gene, 16685